rnacentral:rRNA from 1 species
GAGUCGGACCUGCCCAGUGAAUAAGUUUUCAACGGCCGCGGUACUCUGACCGUGCAAAGGUAGCAUAAUCAUUUGCCCUAUAAUUGAGGGCUAGUAUGAAUGGUUUGACGUGAGCAAGACUGUCUCUAUAUAAUUUUUUAGAACUUGAUUCAUAGGUGAGGAAACCUAAAUAUCAUUGAAAGACAAGAAGACCCUAUUGAGCUUUAAAGUAAUAGGUUGAAAAUACUAUAUAAUAUUAAAUAUUAAUCAACCUUAAAUUUUGGUUGGGGCGACUAUGGAACAAAUAAAGCUUCUUUGUAACUUUCAAAACCUACAAGUCUUGAUCCAGAGAUUUUGAUCAACGGAAUUAGUUACCAUAGGGAUAACAGCAUAAUUCUCUUCAAGAGUUCAUAUCGAAAAGAGAGUUUGUGACCUCGAUGUUGGACUAGAAUGUCCUAAAGAUGCAGCAGUCUUUAAGGGUUGGUC